rnacentral:rRNA from 1 species
GUAUACGGCCACACCACCCUGAACGCGCCCGAUCUCGGAAGCUAAGCAGGAUGGGGCUUCUUAGAACUCGCAUGGGAGACCGCCUGGGAAUACCGGGUGCCGUACCCU